rnacentral:rRNA from 1 species
CCUACGGGUGGCAGCAGUGAGGAAUAUUGGUCAAUGGGCGCAAGCCUGAACCAGCCAAGUAGCGUGAAGGAUGACUGCCCUACGGGUUGUAAACUUCUUUUGUAAAGGAGUAAAGUGAGGCACGUGUGCCUUUUUGUAUGUACUUUAUGCAUAAGGAUCGGCUAACUCCGUGCCAGCAGCCGCGGGAAUACGGAGGAUCCGAGCGUUAUCCGGAUUUCUUGGGUGUAAAGGGAGCGUAGAUGGGUUGUUAAGUCAGGUGUGAAAGUUUGCGGCUCAACCGUAAAAUUGCAAUUGAUACUGGCAGCCUUGAGUACAGUUGAGGUAGGCGGAAUUCGUGGUGUAGCGGUGAAAUGCUUAGAUAUCACGAAGAACUCCGAUUGCGAAGGCAGCUUACUAAACUGCCACUGACAUUGAUGCUCGAAAGUGUGGGUAUCAAACAGGAUUAGAUACCCCUGUAGUC